AUCAAGACGUUUAAACCAUGGGGCGGGAGCGAGCACCAGCCGGUGCCUGAGGGCAUCGGAUUCACUUCCCAACCACUCUUUAUGGGCUAUUUUUGUAGCCAGCCACUCGAUGUGGUUGCAGUGGGAAUGGGCAAGGGUAGAGGAAGGAAGGAGAGGCAAACUCACCAAGAGAAACCGAAAUCCCCUUUCUCCAAGUCAAUUGUCAGGGGGCCAUCUUUGUAUCUAAAGCCUGUGGUUUUGCUCUCUUGUGGUGCGACAAGUGGGUGCUCAUGCGCCCCCUCUGGGCAAACAAGUAAGGUGCAGCUAUAUUCAGACAGAGAAGACGCUCCUG
rnacentral:lncRNA from 1 species